GCUGGGUGCAGUGGUGCACACCUGUAAUUCCAGCAUCUUGGGAGGCUGAGGUAGGAGGAUCUUGAGUGCAAAGCCAGCCUCAGCAAAAGCUAGGUGCUAAGCAACUCAUUGUGACUUUGUCUCUA
rnacentral:sRNA from 1 species